rnacentral:lncRNA from 1 species
GUGAGAGUUUGAACCUCAAAUUUUAAUUUACUAUAAUUUCUUACUCAAAUUUUCAGAAUUAUUAUAAUCAAAUCUCACAACUCAAUUUGAUUAAUUAAAUAUUGACGUAUUGCUGAUGUAAAAAGUAAUGUAACAUUUUAAUUUUCGACACGUUGCCAAUCACAACACUAGUAAACUAUUUUUUACAUUAGCAAUAUAUCAAUAUUUAGUCAAUUAAAUUGAGUUAUAAAAUUUAAUUAUAAUAAUUUGAAAAAUCAAGUGAGAAAUUACAAUAAAUUAAAAUUUAAGAAUUAAAUUAUCACCUGUUUCAUAGUUUGAAAAACUAAGAGGGCGUUUGGUUCGAUGCAAAAUGAACCAAAAAAUUGCUUUCGGUAUGAAAAAUGCUUUUCCUCUUAUUUGAUUCGAUGUAACAAAAAAUAAAUAAAUAAAUAAAUAAAUCAUAAAAGUACUUUUACGGAUUUGAAAAAAAUUUGAAGUUUUUGUUUUUCGUUGCUUUUCGGCGGAAAACAAAAACUUAAGAUGCAUAAAAUUUUUUUCAUUUAUUUUUUUUACUCAACCAAAUAAAUGUGAACUUUUUCUUUCAACGAAAUAAAUAUUAAUGAAAAUUAUUUUUUUUCUACAAACAAAAUACUACAAAAUAUAUAUAUAUAAAA